AGUUUGAUCCUGGCUCAGGAUGAACGCUGGCGGCGUGCCUAAUGCAUGCAAGUCGCACGGGAGCAAUCCAGUGGCAGACGGGUGAGGAACACGUGGGAAUCUACCGUUCCGUUCGGAAUAACAGGGCGAAAGUCCUGCUAAUACCGGAUACGGUCGCGAGACGAAAGUGGCAACGCGCGGAACGAGGAGCCUGCGGCGGAUUAGGCAGUUGGUGGGGUAACGGCCUACCAAACCGAUGAUCCGUAGCUGGUCUGAGAGGAUGAUCAGCCACACUGGGACUGAGACACGGCCCAGACUCCUACGGGAGGCAGCAGCAAGGAAUUUUCCGCAAUGGGCGCAAGCCUGACGGAGCAACGCCGCGUGGACGAGGACGCUUUUCGGAGUGUAAAGUCCUUUUCACGAGGAAGAGAAUGACGGUACUCGUGGAAUAAGCAUCGGCUAACUACGUGCCAGCAGCCGCGGUAGUCGGGCCCAAU
rnacentral:rRNA from 1 species